UGUUAAGCUCAUUAUGUUGGAUCAUGUGUUUCUAAUAUCGGUCUUGACUAUUGUUUUUUUUCACGUAUCGUGCUCUUUCAUGAUUUUGCUAUUCCUCUGCUUCUGCAGCGUCUGUUUUUUUUUUUUUUCUCUUUUGUUUUUUUUUUUUAAUGAUACGGGGGCCCCCGAGAUCUACACUAUCCUCUUCGUCGGCAGCGUCAGAUGUGUAUAAGAGACAGACACAGGUGCCUGCGAAAGCGAAAGCUGAAGUAUAGGUGCUGACGCCUGCCCGGUGCCGGAAGGUUAAGGAGAGAAGUUAGCGAAAGCGAAGCAUCGAACUGAAGCCCCGGUGAACGGCGGCCGUAACUAUAACGGUCCUAAGGAAGCGAAAUUCCUUGUCGGGUAAGUUCCGACCCGCAUGAAAGGCGUAAUGAUUUGGGCACUGUCUCAACGAGGGGCCCGGUGAAAUUGAAAUACCUGUGAAGAUGCAGGUUACCCGCGACUGGACAGAAAGACCCCAUGGAGCUUCACUGCAGCUUGAGAUUGAAUCCCGGUGACAGAUGCACAGGAUAGGUGGGAGGCGCCGAAGCAUUGCCCUAGGGCGGUGCGGAGCCGAUGUUGGGAUACCACCCUUCUGUUGCUGAGAUUCUAACGCGAGGAGUAACGACCCUGCGGACCCUCUCAGGCAGGCGGUUUGACUGGGGCGGUCGCCUCCGAAAGAGUAACGGAGGCGCCCAAAGGUUCCCUCAGGCCGGACAGAAACCGGCCGAAGAGUGCAAAGGCAGAAGGGAGCUUGACUGCGAGACCAACAAGUCGAGCAGAGACGAAAGUCGGGCUUAGUGAUCCGGUGGUACUGAGUGGAAAGGCCAUCGCUCAACGGAUAAAAGCUACCCUGGGGAUAACAGGCUAAUCUCUCCCAAGAGUUCAUAUCGACGGGGAGGUUUGGCACCUCGAUGUCGGCUCAUCACAUCCUGGGGCUGGAGUAGGUCCCAAGGGUUGGGCUGUUCGCCCAUUAAAGUGGUACGCGAGCUGGGUUCAAAACGUCGUGAGACAGUUUGGUUCAUAUCCAUCGCGGGCGCAAGAAGUUUGAGAGGAGCUGCUCCUAGUACGAGAGGACCGGAGUGGACGGAUCAACGGUGUCCCAGUUGUCACGCCAGUGGCACGGCUGGAAAGCCGCAUCCGGGAAGGAUAAACGCUGAAAGCAUCUAAGCGCGAAGCCAACCUCAAGAUGAGACUUCUCAUCAGCAAUGAGUAAGACCCCUUACAGACGAUGAGGUAGAUAGGUUAUGAGUGGAAGAGCCGCAAGGCUUGGAGCGACAUAAAACUAAUAGGUCGAGGUCUUAACUUA
rnacentral:rRNA from 1 species